CGGGGAGGUAGUGACGAAAAAUAACGAUACGGGACUCAUCCGAGGCCCCGUAAUCGGAAUGAGUACACUUUAAAUCCUUUAACGAGGACCAAUUGGAGGGCAAGUCUGGUGCCAGCAGCCGCGGUAAUUCCAGCUCCAAUAGCGUAUAUUAAAGUUGUUGCGGUUAAAAAGCUCGUAGUUGAAUCUGUGUGUCACAGUGUCGGUUCACCGCUCGCGGUGUUUAACUGGCAUUAUGUGGUACGUCCUACCGGUGGGCUUAGCUCCUUGCGGGCGGUCCAACUAAUAUCCCAUCGCGGUGCUCUUUACUGAGUGUCGAGGUGGGCCGGUACGUUUACUUUGAACAAAUUAGAGUGCUCAAAGCAGGCUACCUUCGCCUGAAUACUCUGUGCAUGGAAUAAUGGAAUAGGACCUCGGUUCUAUUUUGUUGGUUUUCGGAACCCCGAGGUAAUGAUUAAUAGGGACAGAUGGGGGCAUUCGUAUUGCGACGUUAGAGGUGAAAUUCUUGGAUCGUCGCAAGACGGACAGAAGCGAAAGCAUUUGCCAAAAAUGUUUUCAUUAAUCAAGAACGAAAGUUAGAGGUUCGAAGGCGAUCAGAUACCGCCCUAGUUCUAACCAUAAACGAUGCCAGCUAGCGAUCCGCCGAAGUUCCUCCGAUGACUCGGCGGGCAGCUUCCGGGAAACCAAAGCUUUUGGGUUCCGGGGGAAGUAUGGUUGCAAAGCUGAAACUUAAAGGAAUUGACGGAAGGGCACCACCAGA
rnacentral:rRNA from 1 species